rnacentral:lncRNA from 1 species
GUUUUCUAUCCCGUCUGCAAUUGAUAUUGAAAAUACAAUAUGAAUUUAGAAUCAUUGUUGAAAUUAAAACUACAACGUAAUAAUCGUAAGACAGAAGUAGCACAGACAUUUAUUUGCUUUGUGAUUACAUGGAUUACGAAUUUCAAAGAUGAAAUAAUUGAUACUUGAUAACUGCAACUUCUACCCCUUCGUGGUUAAUGUAGAGUGCUUAGUUUUUUUUCGAUAUGAAAGUUUAAGAUUUAAAACAUGAUAGUCGUCAUCUUCUAUUAGAAUAUAGAUAAUAUUUGUAAACAAAUGUGUGGAUGUACUGUGUAUAACAUUAUCAACAUUGAUUUUGAGUACACAGUGACACUAAAGAGAUAAAAAUUAAAGUAUACACUUCUAUAUCUUAUAAACAACCCUAACUGAGGAACCGACAGAAG